UCCCAAGUAACUGGGACCACAGGCAGAUGCCACCAUGCCCAGUGACUCCGUUCACAUGCUCCCGUCUUGUCAUCAAGCCCUGUUCAUCUCUCACCAUCUCUCACCUGGACCAUUGCCAGUUUCUGAGCUGCCUGCUCUUGAAUACCAGCUUCCUGAAAAUAUCACCAAAACGAUCUGGUCCUCAGACAAAGCAGAGUCUAUUGCUCACUGCAGUAACAGAGAGCUCCGUCUUCAGAGUCUUGGUAACAUUUCGCUGAGAGGACAACCCAAUCACACUGUUUAGGAGAUUUUGGAUUCUGACUAAGGUGCCUGGAGCAAAAAUGUGUCCAGAAUUGGUGGGUUGUUGGUCUCGCUGACCUCAAGAACGGAGCCGUGGACCCUCGCGGGACAAGGGGAGUCAGAGGCAGAAGAGAAGGUGUUGUGAUGACAGAAGCAGAGAUCUGAGUGACUCACUUUGAAGAUGGAGGAAGAGGUCACAGGCCAAGUGAUACAGAUGCCAGGAGAAGCUGAAAACAGGAGGAAAUGGAUUCUUCCCUCAGAGCUUCUGGAAAAGAUCAGUCUUGCUGAUAACUUGACUUUAGCCCACUGAAACUGAUUUUGAACUUUUGACUUCCAGAACUACAGGGUCUCAUUAUUGUUGCCCAGACUCAUCUCAAACUC
rnacentral:lncRNA from 1 species